rnacentral:rRNA from 1 species
GACGAACGCUGGCGGCGUGCUUAACACAUGCAAGUCGAACGGAAAGGCCCUGCUUUUGUGGGGUGCUCGAGUGGCGAACGGGUGAGUAACACGUGAGUAACCUGCCCUUGACUUUGGGAUAACUUCAGGAAACUGGGGCUAAUACCGGAUAGGAGCUCCUGCUGCAUUGUGGGGGGGGGAAAGUUUCGGCGGUUGGGGAUGGACUCGCGGCUUAUCAGCUUGUUGGUGGGGUAGUGGCUUACCAAGGCUUUGACGGGUAGCCGGCCUGAGAGGGUGACCGGCCACAUUGGGACUGAGAUACGGCCCAGACUCCUACGGGAGGCAGCAGUGGGGAAUAUUGCACAAUGGGCGGAAGCCUGAUGCAGCAACGCCGCGUGCGGGAUGACGGCCUUCGGGUUGUAAACCGCUUUAGCCUGUGACGAAGCGUGAGUGACGGUAAUGGGUAAAGAAGCACCGGCUAACUACGUG